rnacentral:misc_RNA from 1 species
GUGAGUCAUCGAAUCUUUGAACGCACCUUGCACCCUUUGGUAUUCCGAAGGGUACACCCGUUUGAGUGUCAUUUGCAAUCUCACCUCUUUAACUUUCAACGGUUGAUCAGUGUGGAUUUGGAUGUUGCCAUGUGACAAGUGGCUCGUCUGAAAAGCCUGAGUGUACCCUGUUUCUGUGGUGUAUUCGGUGUAAUAAACCUUCACCGGAGCUGAUUUUCGAAUCGCACCUAUGUAACAGGCCCUAUGCUUCCAAUCGUCUCCACAAGACAAUAAUCUGACAAUUUGACCUCAAAUCGGGUGGGACUACCCGCUGAACUUAAGCAUAUCAAUAAGCGGAGGA